GCUUUGGCCUACUUGGGUCCCUUCCUAGGAUCUUGCCUUCGAUUGAGGGAGGAAUGUUACAGUGCUGAUGCUGUGCUGAGCAGUAGCCAAAACACUGAAGGACUCCACGUAAGCAUGAUUUCUGGUGUCUCCUUAAUGAAGAGACCAGUCGUUGCUUAAGAUUAUUGAAGACUGGAAAUAAGAAGAGACAUCACAGAGAUUUCAUUUAUUCCAGU